AACCUUACCAGUUGGAUAAUAUUCAUUGUGUGUGAACUCAAGGAGAUAGUUAGUGCCAUUUUCUAUGGAAGUACAUGUGCUCCAAGAAGAAGAAGAAGAAGCUAAGCAACAGAAUGCAAUUCUCUGAGGCAUUGAUUUACAUGUAUGUGCAUAUAAAGAGCAGCCAGCAAUUAUUUCAUGACGAGAGCUUGUUACCAAAUGAAAGGAAAGUGCAGUAUUAGAAUCACUGAGGUUCAUGUUACAACGUACAUGAAGUUGCAAAUCUAGAUGUCCUGUAAAAAAACCUGGUAUCAAAGAACUGAAAAGUAAAGAAACAGAACCAAAGAACAUUCAUUUUAAAUUAAUACAAUAUUGAACUCAAAA